GGUAAAGCUAAUAAGAGCAUAUGGAGAAUGCCUUGGCAUUGGGAGCCGAAGAAGGACGUGGUUAACUGCGAAAAGCUACGGGGAGUCGUAAGCAGACAUUGAUCCGUAGAUGUCCGAAUGGAGCAAUCCGCAUAAGAGAAGCUUAUGCAUCAUGCGAUGAAUAAAAUAGUCGUAUGAGGGGAACCGCCUGAACUGAAACAUCUAAGUAGGGCGAGGAAGAGAAAUCAAACGAGAUUUCGUAAGUAGUGGCGAGCGAAAGCGAAAUAGGCCAAACCAUGAGUAGCAAUACACAUGGGGUUGCGGACUGUAUAAUGAAUUCUUGAGUUUUAGUUGAACUGCAUGGGAAGGCAGACCGAAGAGUGUGAGAGUCACGUAAACGAAAAGAUGAGAGAUCAGACAGUAUCCAGAGUACCGCCGGGCACGUGAAAUCCGGUGGGAAGCCGGGGGGACCACCCUCCAAGCCUAAAUACUACCCAAUGACCGAUAGCGAAGAGUACUGUGAAGGAAAGGUGAAAAGAACCCCGGGAGGGGAGUGAAAAAGAACCUGAAACCAUAUGCUUACAAGCACAUAGAGCACGUCAAAGUGUGAUAUGGUACCUAUUGUAGAAUGGUCCGGCGAGUUAUCCUAUUAAGCAAGGUUAAGGACUUAAGGUCUGUAGCCGAAGCGAGAGCGAGUCUUAACAGGGCGUUAAGUUUAAUGGGAUAGACCCGAAACCGAGUGACCUAGCCAUGUCCAGGCUGAAGUGGAGGUAAAACUCCAUGGAGGGCCGAACCGACCCCCGUUGAAAAGGUGGCGGAUGAGGUGUGGCUAGCGGAGAAAUUCCAAUCGAACUCGGAUAUAGCUGGUUCUCCUCGAAAUAGCUUUAGGGCUAGCGUUACAAGUGAUUAUCGGAGGUAAAGCACUGAAUGGGCUAGGGGUCGAGAGAUUACUGAACCCUAUCAAACUAAGAAUGCCGAAUAAUUGAAUUGUAGCAGUCAGACUGUGUGAGAUAAGUCUCAUAGUCAAAAGGGAAAGAGCCCAGACCCACAGCUAAGGUCCCCAAAUAGGUUUAAGUGGAAAAGGAUGUGGGGUUGCCCAGACAACCAGGAUGUUGGCUUAGAAGCAGCCACUCAUUAAAAGAGUGCGUAAUAGCUCACUGGUCGAGUGACCCUGCGCCGAAAAUUCAACGGGGCUAAAAUCUAUACCGAAGCUUGGGAUUGGUACGUAAGUAUCAGUGGUAGAGGAGCGUCGUAUAAGGGGAGAAGUCAUAGCGAAAGCGAUGGUGGACUUUAUACGAGUGAGAAUGCCGGAAUGAGUAGCGAGAAUUAUGUGAGAAUCAUAAUGGCCGAAAGUCUGAGGUUUUAGGAGGAAGGUUCGUCCGCUCCUAGUAAGCCGGGAGCUAAGGUGAGGCGGAAACGCGUAGCCGAUGCACAUACGGUAGAAAUUCCGUAGCCUCCGAAAUAUUUAAGCACAAGGACACUUUU
rnacentral:rRNA from 1 species